GAUGAACGCUGGCGGCGUGCUUAACACAUGCAAGUCGAACGGAAAGGCCCUGCUUUUGUGGGGUGCUCGAGUGGCGACCGGGUGAGAAACCCGUGAGUAACCUGCCCUUGACCUUGGGACAACUUCACGACACUGGGGCUAAUACCGGAUAGGAGCUCUCCAUGCACGGGGGGGUUUGAAAAGUUUCCGCGGUUGGGGAUGGACUCGCGGCAUCACAGCUUCUUGGUGGGGUAGUGGCCUACCAAGGCUUAGACGGGUAGCCGGCCUGAGAGGGUGACCGACCACCUUAGGACUGUGAUACGGCCCAGACUGCAACGGGAGGCAGAGCUGUCGAAUAUUGCACGAUGGGCGGAAACCUAACGCAGCAAGGCCGCGAGCGGGAUGACGGCCUUCGGGUUGUAAACCUGUUUCGCCUGGGACGAAGCGUGGGUGACGGUAAUGGGUAAAAAAGCACCGGCUAACUACGUG
rnacentral:rRNA from 1 species